ACGACAGAAUUUGGGUGAACUAACCCUUUAAGUUUAAAAUGCAUUUUACUAUAAACUAUAUUUAAUAUGGUAUGUGUGGGAAGGGAAAAGUGUAGCAUCACAGUAGAGUAUGCUGCCCAUUAUAAAUGAAAGCAUGUGACAAGCGUGGUCAGAGGAGUCCACCUAAAACAGGCAAAACAAUGGACGACACUCGUCUUACCCAUUCUUGAUAUUUUUUUUACUGUAGAAUACAAGCCACAUUUCAGAUGGCGGUGUGAAAGCACAACGAGCAUGUGCUGUUUCCGCUCUUCAUAUGCGCAGCUUUCGCACUGCUAUCGCUCUUCUUAUGCAUCCAGUGUGAAACAUUGUCAACAUCACUUAACAGUUCAACAUGCUAAUAGACAUUAGAAGUGUUAUUUCAUGUUUUAAAAGUAGAUAUGCGCAAUUUUAAUGGGCUGCGUAUAAUUUAAUUGCUGCUUUUUUUUAUAUGCAGGUCAAACAAAAAUGAAUUUGCCAAAAAGAAAUGUUUUGUUUUGUGUUAUAUAUCCCCUGCAAUCACAAUAAGCUCUUUACAUCUUCAGUUGCUUGGAAACAUGAUGUCUUGGGAACUUUGUUGUAAAUUUGAUCUUGAUUGAUGCACUUAAGACCAAACCAGUUCAAUUUAUGUCCUCCAUCUUCAUAGAAGGUGCCGUUUGAAGUAUUAAGGUACUCAUCAUUAGGGAUUUUUAUUCAAAUGUUUUUGAGUUAGCUUAGCAUUUUGUGCACACACUUUCUAUUUUCUUUGCUGUUGUUUUACCUCAAAUAUUACUGUGCCCUGUGGAUGUUAAUUGUUUCUUUUUUUUCCCCAAAACUUGUGAAUUCUUAUUUUGGACAUCGUAGUAACUCGCAAAAGCUUUUGGACUUUGUAUUGAAGCCUAGCUGAAUGCGUAACAUCGGUGGCCUUCCAACUCAAGGGUCUGUAAAACAGGAAGUCCAUGGAAGCACCAUCAGCUAAUGACAUGGUGGAUCCUUGACUGUCAACACAUUUCUCAUCCAUCUACAGUUUACGUUAAUUCUCUUGGAUAAACUCAAAUACAUUCCAGUCUCUACCGCACUGUACAGUUGUAAAUUUGAUUUUUUUUUUUGUUUGUUUUUUAGCAAUAAUGGAUUUUGUAAGUAUAACUACUUUAUAAAGGUGUAUAAAAUGAUAACAUUUUUAAUCUAGAGCGAGACGGAACUUAGUUUGACUCAAUGUUUUCCUGAGCCAGGCUUUUAACACUGUGAAGUGAUCAUUUCUGUCACAGUUGUACAUUUUUUGUUGCUUUUGUGCAAUGCACUGAUAUUUUCUGUUUGCGAAUUUAUAACUGUGUAUGUACAGUACGUGUGCCUAAAAGCUGUAUGUCUGAUGUAUGUGCGCUUUUACCUGCACUGCAUGUGCCCAUAUUUUUUACCACAACCACUAGUGAAUGCCUUUUUUUUUUUUGCCCUGAAUCAGUGAAAUGUUAAGUUCUAGGGGAGCUUUCAGUGUUUGUUUGUUUCUUUUUUAAGAGGAAAGAUGGAGAACUUCAGGCUCACUGAUAAUAAAGUUAUCUAUUAUUAGUAAUGCCAGUCAUUUCAAUAUCAUAGAUUUCAUGUUUACCUCAAGGCAGUGGUGGAGCUAAACUCAAAAUUUCUUACCAAACAAGACUUGUACUGAGAAUUAUGUCAAAAUGAAAAUGGCAAACUUCCAGCCACAUUUGUCAGUGUUAUUAAUUCAUUUCAGUUGUCAACAAUAAAAACAGACCCUGUGAUAUGAACUCGUGUCAUAUUAGUACUUCUGUUGUUGUUGUUGUUUUUUAAAGAGUAUAAACAUCUUUUAAGCCUCAAAGUGUAUGGUGCCAGUUUAAGCAUCAUGUUCCAUUAGCAAACAACAUGCCAUUGAGGGCUAUAGAAUCAAAUAUGAUUUUUUUGUAACUGUGUAUAAUGUGCUAAUAUGAGUAAAGAAUUGUGUAUAACUGGAGGAUCUGGCCACUCUAAUUUCUAACAGAGGUUUAAUUAGUCAAUGUGCUCUUGUUAUU